rnacentral:rRNA from 1 species
AUUGAACGCUGGCGGCAUGCCUUACACAUGCAAGUCGAACGGUAACGGGUCCUUCGGGAUGCCGACGAGUGGCGAACGGGUGAGUAAUAUAUCGGAACGUGCCCAGUAGUGGGGGAUAACUGCUCGAAAGAGCAGCUAAUACCGCAUACGACCUGAGGGUGAAAGGGGGGGAUCGCAAGACCUCUCGCUAUUGGAGCGGCCGAUAUCAGAUUGGCUAGUUGGUGGGGUAAAGGCCUACCAAGGCAACGAUCUGUAGUUGGGCUGAGAGGACGGCCAGCCACACUGGGACUGAGACACGGCCCAGACUCCUACGGGAGGCAGCAGUGGGGAAUUUUGGACAAUGGGCGCAAGCCUGAUCCAGCAAUGCCGCGUGCAGGAAGAAGGCCUUCGGGUUGUAAACUGCUUUUGUCAGGGAAGAAAUCUUCUGGGCUAAUACCCCGGGAGGAUGACGGUACCUGAAGAAUAAGCACCGGCUAACUACGUGCCAGCAGCCGCCGUAA